GCGCAGGUGUGUGCGAGGUGCGGUGCGAGCCAGGCAGGGCUGUGCGACGAAGUUGCGUGCCGUUGCCGGAAAUCGGUCGCCGGAACUUAAUUUCCGGCGAGCUUAACGGUCCCAAUUUCAUAAGCGGAACGUUCGAUUAAGACAGCGAAAAUUCUCCGUUACAAGACUAGGUGUGCUGGUGCUGCUGCAUAAUCUCGAGCAUACGGGGACUAGGCUUGGGUAUUUACAUUUAAAGCAUUUUGAAAUAAGUAUUAUUGGUUUUUCUAAGACUUAUAUAUGGUUUGUGGUUUGAAUGAAAGGGGUCAUUGAUGAUUCCCGAGUUGUAUUUAUAUUUUAAUUCCGCUGCAUUUUAGUUUUCAAGUUAAUGUUUUAAGUUAUCGUUAACCUUAUUAUGCCUUGCGUUCCAUCGCGGCGGUAACGCCCCGAGGUCGACGCGACGCAGCAGUGGUAGGCGCGCGUGGAUUUUGGGGGUGUUACAAAACUGGUAUCAGAGCCGAAGGCUCUGAAUUUCAAAGACGUUUUAAAAA